UCGAUACCUUUUCGAACUAGGCUACCUACCGUAUUCGAGUUCCCUUUUCUAGCGGCCGAUACAAACUCCU
rnacentral:rRNA from 16 species